CGACUAAGCAAAGUCAACAGAUGUUAUCUGGCAGAUCCUGAAUGUGAACCGGUUGAUGGGGGGUGGACAAACUUUACCUACUGGUGGAAUCCGUGCACAGUGACGUGUGGAGGAGGUAUACAAUCAGGCCAGGAACAUCGCACCUGUACAAAUCCUCGUCCUUCCAAAGACGGAAAACCCUGUGUGGGAUCUCUUCACCGACGAAAAGCAUCACGGAACUGUAAUACACAUCCUUGUCCAGUUGAUGGAAAGUGGUCAGAGUACGGCCCAUUCAGUAAGUGGAGCAAGUGUUCUUUGUCUUGUGGAGUGGGAAAAGGAACAAAACAGCGUUUUCAAAAAAGAGAUUGCAACAACCCACCACCACAAUACGGCGGAGAAAGCUGCAGAGGAAGUAAUGUCCAUGCUGAGAGAAGACAAUGCAGUUUGAAUCCCUGUCCAGGUAACAUUAUCUGCAUAUACUACACAUUACUUGCCUUAAAACAGACUCAAUACAAAGUCCAAAAUUCAGGUUAUUUCUGCCUCUGAUCUACAGGUAUGAAAGGCAUAUAUCAAACACAAAGUGGUUCCAAAACUUUCCCAGAAACUUAUUUAACAGUGAUUGCGAAAAGUCUGGUCGAUAUGUUUUUUGAUAAAUUAUGCUGUAUUUUAUCGCACAUUAUGUAAUUG